CUACGGGACGCUCCAGUGAGGAAUUUUGCGCAAUGGGGGCAACCCUGACGCAGCAACGCCGCGUGAGUGAAGAAGGCCUUUGGGUCGUAAAGCUCUGUCAAUUGGGAAGAAGUUAUUAUUGUUUAAGAGAUGAUAGUAUUGACGGUACCAAUGAAGGAAGCAUCGGCUAACUCCGUGCCAGCAGCCGCGGUAAUACGGGGGAUGCAAGCGUUAUUCGGAAUUAUUGGGCGUAAAGGGCGCGUAGGCGGUUUUGUCGGUCAGAUGUGAAAGCCCGGGGCUCAACCCUGGAAGUGCAUUUGAAACAGCAAGACUUGAGUACGGGAGAGGAAAGCGGAAUUCCUGGUGUAGAGGUGAAAUUCGUAGAUAUCAGGAGGAACACCGAUGGCGAAGGCAGCUUUCUGGACCGAUACUGACGCUGAGGCGCGAAGGCGUGGGUAGCGAACAGGAUUAGAUACCCUCGUAGUC
rnacentral:rRNA from 1 species